ensembl:lncRNA
UGAGGAUCAAACACACAUCCCCUGCAUUGGAAGGUGGGUUCUUAACCAUUGGACGACUAGGAAAGUCCUUCUAUUGCUGUUUUGCAACAUCCUGCCACUUGCAGGAUCUUGGUUCCUGGACCAGUGACUGAACUCCGGUCCCAGCAGUGGAAGCACAGAGUCCUAACCACUGGACCACCAGAGGAUUCCUGGGGAUCCAUUUUUCUUCACCACCUCCUGCAAAACCCACCCCUCCCUCUGCUAUGGAUGCCAUCACCUCUCUGCCCGCACCCAGGGGUCUCCCCUCCAGCUCCGGAGCGCCUUCUCCUCCCUCUGCCUGCUUUGCCGCUGACAGCUAGAAGAUUCCAAGCCAACCAUUUUGUAGAAGGUCCCUCGUCUGGGUUUGUUUGAUGUUUCCCUUUGAUUAAAUUCAGGUUAUACAUUUUUGAGAGGAAAUCACAGUUUCAUUUCUUCACAUGAAAAUAUUGAAUCCAUUUGGAAUUAAUUUGGGUAUAAAUGAUAUAUUUUUCCUCACUUAUAUGAAACACCUCCUUUAUCAUAUAGCAAAUAUUUAAUUGCAUAUCUUUUAUCUUUCUGCUCUUCAAAGCCAGUGUCACACUGUUUUAAUUACCCUGGCUUCGUAAUAUGCACCCCCCAAACACGGUAAUGAGCAGAGUCCCCCUAAUCAUGCUUCUUUUCUCAGAAACUUCCUGGCUCUUCUCGCUCAUUAAAUCUUCCAGAUGCACCUUAGAAUCGUGUUAUCAAGUUCCUUAAAAAGUACCUUUGUGAUUUAGGUUGUCGAACUUUGAAAUCACUGUGGGCAAAACGGGCAGCUUUAAUACUAAACCUUCCAUAGAGGAGCAGUGUCUGUGUAUCAUCCACACUUUCUGUGACUCGGUAAAGCUUUGUACUCUUUUUCAUGAAGUUCCUGCCCUUUUCUCUGGGAGCUGGUGACUACUUUUGAGUCUCUUGUGAAC